rnacentral:lncRNA from 1 species
UUUGAUAAGGGGAGUCUUUCUUCCCUAAUCUGCUUUUUGGAUUUGCUCAUUUGUCUAGCCACAUAUAUAGUACGUGUACGUGGUGGCAAAGUGCUUGGGCACUGCAAUCAGUCUCCUGGGUUUGCACCCCAGCUCCGCCACUUGACAUGUAGGCUGGGGGAAGCCACAUCACUUUUAUGUGCUUUGGUUUUCUCACCUGGAAAAUGAGGAUAAUCAUAUGCUCUCUUGUUAGUGUUAUCAUGGGGUGAAGAUGAGGCAAUGCCAAGUAUAGUGCCGCGUACAGAGCCUGGAGCAAGGUAAGCACCCAAGAAUGCGAACUGCUACUAUUGUGGUCAUGAUUUUCUAGCUUGUAGCAGAACUACUACUUAUUUAGAUCAUGGCAUCUAAAAAUACAUUUCCUCAAAUAUCAAAAGAGCCAGGACCAGAAUCUUGGCCUCUGGCCUCAAAGAUAAUGCCUUUUCCCGGCAUUUCCCCUGGACAGGCUGGGAAACAUCGCACCACAAAAUCUACACUCUUUCAAUCCUAUCAGCUGGUGUGUUCAUCUCAUUCUGAGAAUCAGGCUGAAGGAACAACCUCUAUCUGGAACAUGCUUUACAUAUCAGAAGGAGAAGAAAGAAAGCAGGGAAAGAAAACAGGCAUCAUGAUGGCAACUAAAGGGUGAUGAGCUUGUUUCCCACUUCACUGGAAAACAAAAUGGGAAUAUUCAGAAGAUAAGUUCCACAGCUCCCAUAGCAUCUUCCUAUCUACCAGGAUUUGGACCUUCUACACCCUGCUCCCAUUAAGGAAUUAGCCUUGCUCUUGUCCAAAACUAGCCUUUGCGUAUGCCUUAGAUCCUAUCCCCCUUGCUUGCUCACAGGCUUUGCUCCAGCAAUUCUCCCUAUUUUUCCCCUAUACCAUCAGCUUCCUCUCUCUACUAGGUCAUUUCCACCAGCACACAACAAUACUGUCUCUCUCAUCUUAGAAAUGGAAACUAACAAAAUUGAGUUCACUUUUCCUUCUGACACUAUCCCUUUUCUACCUCCCCCACUUUACAGCAAAACUCUUUGAAAGCUGCCUGAAUUUCACUGCUUCCAUUUCCUCUCCUCUUCUCACUUAAACCUACUGCUGCCAGAACCGGGACUCCACCACCUCACCAGACCCCUGCUUGUCAAUAUCAUCAAUGACUUCCAUCUUGCUAAAUCCAUUUCUUGUCCCCAUUGAACUUGACCCUCAGUAACACCUUGUCAAAUUAACCACUCCCUUCUCAUGGAAAUGAUUUCUUGUUUUCUAAGACACUACACAUUUCGUUUUCCUUCAACACCCCUGGAUGCUGCUUCCCAGUCUUGUCCCUUAACCUCCUAGCACUGAAGUGAUGCAGGGCUCAGUCCACAGAUCUCUUCAUCUUUCCUGUUCACUCCAUACUCACCCUCUUGGUAAUUCCCUUCCAGUUUCAUCGUUUAAAUGGCAUCUGUCUGCAAAUGAUUAUCAAAUGUAUGCCUCCAGCCAUGGCCACUGCUCUCAACGUUAGCUUAUCCAUCUAACUGUCAACUCUGUAUCUCUACCUGGACGCCUGAUGGAGGUCUCCAAUGUACCAUGCCCUAAACUGAAAUUUUGAUCUUCUUUAUCCACAGAAUCUGCUCGACCCUAUCUCAGUUAAAGGUAUCUAUGCCCUGGUCUAGAAGGCCUUCAGUAAUUAGAAAGCAUGUAUUUUGUGUGUAUGCCUUGAUAAGUGUUGACUGUAGCUAUAGCAAGGGAUAAUUCAUCAUCAGGAAAUGGUCAGGAGAGUGUCUCCAAAUCUUUUAAGCAUGCGCUAACCUUCAUAUAUAGGGUCCUUGUAUUACCUUUUCUCAAGUUGUACUAUAAUGUCCCGACCUUCAAAAGACCUUAUCCUUGUACAUUUGAGGACUCUUAUCUUUCCUAAUUAAAGUCAGAUGGUUGUCUUGUGGGUUUUCUUCUUCCUUUCUCUUUUGUGAGCUGCCUCUUAACAGCUGUGGUGUGUUGCUAGUGAAUUAUCAGUGGACAG